rnacentral:rRNA from 1 species
CCUACGGGGCGCAGCAGUGGGGAAUAUUGGACAAUGGGCGAAAGCCUGAUCCAGCCAUGCCGCGUGUGUGAAGAAGGCCUUCGGGUUGUAAAGCACUUUCAGUGGGGAAGAAAGCCUUGGGGCUAAUACCCUCGAGGAAGGACAUCACCCACAGAAGAAGCACCGGCUAACUCCGUGCCAGCAGCCGCGGUAAUACGGAGGGUGCGAGCGUUAAUCGGAAUUACUGGGCGUAAAGCGCGCGUAGGCGGUCUGAUAAGCCGGUUGUGAAAGCCCCGGGCUCAACCUGGGAACGGCAUCCGGAACUGUCAGGCUAGAGUGCAGGAGAGGAAGGUAGAAUUCCCGGUGUAGCGGUGAAAUGCGUAGAGAUCGGGAGGAAUACCAGUGGCGAAGGCGGCCUUCUGGACUGACACUGACGCUGAGGUGCGAAAGCGUGGGUAGCAAACAGGAUUAGAUACCUUAGUAGUC